rnacentral:rRNA from 1 species
GACGAACGCUGGCGGCGUGCUUAACACAUGCAAGUCGAACGGAAACGCCUCUUUCGGGUGUUCCUCGAGUGGCGCACGGGUGAGUAACACAUGAGUAACCCGCCCUUGACUUUUGGGUAACUUCAGGAGAAUGGGGCUAUAACCCGAUAGAUGAUCCUGCACCGUGGUGGGGGUUGGGGAGUUUCGGCGGGUGGGGGUGUGCCCGCGGCGCAUCAGCUUGUGGGUGGGGGAGUGGCUUACCAAGGCGUUGGCGGGUAGCCGGGCUGGGGGGGUGAACGGCCACAUUGGGACCGAGGGAAGGCCCAGACUUCCAAGGGAGGCAAGAGGGGGGAAGAUUGGACAAUGGGUGGAAGGCUGGUGCAGCAGAGCCGUGGGCGGGAUGACGGCCUUUGGGGUGUAAAACGCCUUCGCGCAUGAAGGAGGCUUGUGUGACGGUAGUGGGUGAAGAAGCACCGGCUAACUACGUG